UAAUACGGAGGGGGCAAGCGUUGUUCGGAAUCACUGGGCGUAAAGCGCGCGUAGGCGGCCGGGUCAGUCGGGCGUGAAAGCCCAGGGCUCAACCCUGGAAGUGCGUUCGAUACUGCUCGGCUUGAGUGCGGGAGAGGAGAGUGGAAUCCCCAGUGUAGCGGUGAAAUGCGUAGAUAUUGGGAGGAACACCAAUGGCGAAGGCGGCUCUCUGGACCGUCACUGACGCUGAGGCGCGAAAGCUAGGGGAGCAAACGGGAUUAGAUACCCCGGUAGUCCUAGCCGUAAACGAUGGGCACUAGGUGUUGGAGGUAUCGACCCCUUCAGUGCCGUAGCUAACGCAUUAAGUGCCCCGCCUGGGGAGUACGGUCGCAAGGCUG
rnacentral:rRNA from 1 species